ACGCUCGACACCUACGGAAGGCAGCAGUGGGGAAUAUUGGACAAUGGGGGGAACCCUGAUCCAGCCAUGCCGCGUGUGUGAAGAAGGCCUUAUGGUUGUAAAGCACUUUAAGCGAGGAGGAGGCUACUGAGACUAAUACUCUUGGAUAGUGGACGUUACUCGCAGAAUAAGCACCGGCUAACUCUGUGCCAGCAGCCGCGGUAAUCUGAGGCGGGCUGGCAAGGC
rnacentral:rRNA from 1 species